AGGCGCGCGGGCUGCGAGGUUAUUAGAGGUGGAGCGCGGGGAGGGCGCGCGGCGGGAGGCGGCCGCCGUUACGGCGCGAGCGUGGUCACGUGGCCGCUGGUCACCGCCGCCACCCCCUCCCGCCCUGUUCUCUUUCAGGUCGGGCCGGGCCCGGCCGCUUCCGCGAGCGCCCUGCAGACUGAGGGAGAGAGAGAGAAAGAGGAGGGGAGGAGGAGGAGGAGGAUUCAGGGAAUAGGAGCUGGGGAGCCCUUCUGCGCCACAGUUUUGGAGUCCAGAACAUGUAAAGUUUUUUCACCCAUUAUAAACAAUUUGGACAAAAUACUGCAUGUUCUACUUAAAAUUGGGAGCUAAGCAGUGGGUCCUCAUCCUGUCAUAGGAAUAAUAGUCUUGAAAAUUGGAGCUCUGGAAUUCACCAUUCUGAGAGAUCUCUCCUUACUG
rnacentral:sRNA from 1 species